UCCCUGGUGGCUGAGUGAUAAAGACUCUGCCUGCAAUACAGAAGACCUGGGUUCAAUCCCUGGAUUGGGAA
rnacentral:tRNA from 1 species